CCUAUUUUUGAAUGUAAUUAUAAGUCUGUUCAACUUGCAAGAAUACCCCUAAAGCAGACAAAUAUCCGACAAGCAGUUUAUUCUUUAAAUUUGCUGUCUUUGAAUAUCAAGAAAGAAAAUAAAUCCCGAAAAUUAUUUUAAACUUUAAUACGCAAUAGCUUUCCUAGAAAAUAUUCACAUCCCUCGGGGAUUAUUAGUGUACGUCCAGUUGCAUAUGUCGGAACAAUUGUGGUGAUGACGAGUUUCUUCCUUUAUUCGAGAACAAUCUAAUUGAUAUAUAAAUCUGUGAGUUUACUAUGUUCAUAACUUCAAUGAACCAAAGCAAGUUAUAGAUCGACCUAUAUUUAAAUCAAAUUGGUCCUCUUCUUCUUCUUCUUUAGUAUACAAUAGUCUAUCGAAUUGGAUGAUUACAUACGGUUGGCAUACGUGGACUAGUCUAUUUACAAAACUUUUACCCAAAUUUGCACAAAAUGUAUUUUUCUUUCUUAUGUUCAAUGUAUACAUGUAUAUAUUUUAAAUUGCGCUAUAGUUCCGUAACUUUCUAUCCAGGCGUAUAAACGAAUCGUCGACAAGUGCGCACAUUUUUUUAAUCAACAUUUCUGGUAUGAUCCAAUAUGUCCUUUACUAUUGACAACGAGUAUAUAUUACAUUUUCCAAAAUUAACUCUUUUAAAUCUUCAAUUUUUUUUUUUUUUUUUUUUUUUGGUAUCAUUUUUUUUUUAUAAAUAAUAUUCUUUACACAAGAAAUUUUAUUUAUAAACAAGCGUACGAGUUAAGUAAUGACUAGUAUAUUAUAUCACUUUCGGACACGCAAGACAGAGAUGUAUAUUAUACAUGCACCUGAUAGUUCAAAAUGGAAAGUUAUAAGUUUUCGGUCGUGUACACUGAUCUACACUGAUCAAUAACUACAGAAGUGAAACGAUGCAUGAACUUGCAAGCCCGACAGGAAAUCGCUUGAAUACCUGGAUGUGUCACCUUACACCCCUCACAAUACCUUUGGGAGUAAUACCUUUAGCCAUGUAGGUGAUCAGUGGAGCGAAGAUCCUGAUUUAUUUAAAGAAAGUAUAUUACUUUAAAGAAUUAUGAACGAGUUAGAUUUUCGAAAACAAUUUUCACGGAACACUUAUUUAUGAUUUGAACUUUGACUUUUUAACUAAUUCCAAUAUUAACAGUUUGAAAAUAACAGACUAUUUGGUUAUUAAAAAAAAAUAAGAACAUUUUCCGUAUCAAGUUAGUUAGUCAGAUAAAACAACCGUACGAUUGACAAGAUAUCGACACGUAAUUACGACUACAUCGGUUACUGUAGUUUUGUUUCUUUGUGGUUUAUAGACGUAUCGCGACUUUAUUCGGACAAGAUAACAAAAUGGCGGAACGCAGAGAACUGAUACUCAAAAUUUAAAAUCGAUGGUGAUCUCUUAUCUAGCGGAAUAAAACUUUAAUAUUUAUAAAUUUGAGCAUUUUUAUACAGACUGGACAUAAUAUCAAAUUUUGAUUUUUUUGCGAAGUUUCCCUUUAAUGAAAUUAUU
rnacentral:lncRNA from 1 species